GGAGAAGAGGCAGAAGUGAAGCCAGGCACAGGCCCGGGCAGACCGGGGAGGCCAGCACGAGGAGGUUUGAGGUAUUGUUCGAGCAAUGUCCUUGUGAUUUCUCGGUGCCUGUCAGGGAGUCCCCUCCCUACUGAAACUGCUGUCGUCAAUCUUCUCUUCCUGUGCUCUAGGAGGUCACCACCCUGCUCCCAGCCCCUACACCACUUCUUGUCUCCACACAGGGAAGAAUCUAGCUACAUGUCCUAGACUCUUCGCGAACUGGUGAUUCUCCUGCCUCACCUUUCAAGUGCUGCUGGGAUUACAGGUGUGUCAUCAGGCCUGGUACCAUUCAAUUCCUGCUGGUACUGUAAGCCGCUUCUUAGGAGUGAGCCCCCUCCCCCCAACCCUGCCUCAGCCCCUCCCAGCGUCUCCUCACGUGUACAGCCAGGGUAAGGAGCUGGGUGA